UGGCUGUCGUCAGCUCGUGUCGUGAGAUGGUUGGGUUAAGUCCCGCAACGAGCGCAACCCUUUUCCUUAUUUGCCAGCGGUUAAGCCGGGAACUUUAAGGAUACUGCCAGUGACAAACUGGAGGAAGGCGGGGACGACGUCAAGUCAUCAUGGCCCUUACGACCAGGGCUACACACGUGCUACAAUGGUCGGUACAAAGGGUUGCUACCACGCGAGUGGAUGCUAAUCUCAAAAAGCCGAUCGUAGUCCGGAUUGGAGUCUGCAACUCGACUCCAUGAAGUCGGAAUCGCUAGUAAUCGCGGAUCAGAAUGCCGCGGUGAAUACGUUCCCGGGCCUUGUACACACCGCCCGUCACACCAUGGGAGUUUGUUGCACCAGAAGUAGGUAGUCUAACCUUAGGGGGGACGCUUACCACGGUGUGGCAGAUGACUGGGGUGAAGUCGUAACAAGGUAAGCGUAGAUGA
rnacentral:rRNA from 1 species